rnacentral:rRNA from 1 species
UGGGGAAUAUUGGACAAUGGGCGAAAGCCUGAUCCAGCCAUGCCGCGUGUGUGAAGAAGGUCUUCGGAUUGUAAAGCACUUUAAGUUGGGAGGAAGGGCAUUAACCUAAUACGUUAGUGUUUUGACGUUACCGACAGAAUAAGCACCGGCUAACUCUGUGCCAGCAGCCGCGGUAAUACAGAGGGUGCAAGCGUUAAUCGGAAUUACUGGGCGUAAAGCGCGCGUAGGUGGUUUGUUAAGUUGGAUGUGAAAUCCCCGGGCUCAACCUGGGAACUGCAUUCAAAACUGACAGACUAGAGUAUGGUAGAGGGUGGUGGAAUUUCCUGUGUAGCGGUGAAAUGCGUAGAUAUAGGAAGGAACACCAGUGGCGAAGGCGACCACCUGGACUAAUACUGACACUGAGGUGCGAAAGCGUGGGGAGCAAACA